rnacentral:rRNA from 1 species
AGUGUAGGCGGUAACGUAAGUCGGAUGUGAAAGCCCCGGGCUCAACCUGGGAAUUGCAUUCGAUACUGCGUAACUUGAAUCAGACAGAGGGAUGUGGAAUUCCGGGUGUAGCGGUGAAAUGCGUAGAUAUCCGGAGGAACACCAGUGGCGAAGGCGGCAUCCUGGGUCUAGAUUGACGCUGAGGCUCGAAAGCGUGGGGAGCAAACAGGAUUAGAUACCCUGGUAGUCC